ACGCUCGACACCUACGGGAGCAGCAGUAGGGAAUCUUCCACAAUGGACGCAAGUCUGAUGGAGCAACGCCGCGUGAGUGAAGAAGGUUUUCGGAUCGUAAAGCUCUGUUGUUGGUGAAGAAGGAUAGAGGUAGUAACUGGCCUUUAUUUGACGGUAAUCAACCAGAAAGUCACGGCUAACUACGUGCCAGCAGCCGCGGUAAUCUGAGCGGGCUGGCGAAGGC
rnacentral:rRNA from 1 species